GCUGGUGCACGCGAUGACUUAACCUUUUUUCCCCAUCAGAGCGACCCUGCUGAUUCCGUUGCUCUAAGCCGGAUAGUGUCUGAUGCACCAGC
rnacentral:snoRNA from 1 species